UUCUUCCUUUAUUCAUGAGUGUUCUUCUCCUCCACGAGUUGACGAUGUGGAUAAACUCUGUGAGAUCUCUGGGAUUAUAUAUAAUACCUCUUCAUGUCCAGUCUGUCACCCGCGAACUGACAAUGUUGAUAACCUCUGUGAAGUCAGUGGGUUAUUGUAUAAUGGUGCUUCAUGUUCAGGUUGUCAUGAUACAUCAUGGCAAUUAUGUGAAAGCUGUGGUGAUCUAUUUAAACCUCCUCCGGAAAAUCAUGUCUGUCAAGCAACGACAUCCCACGCGGGGAAGGAUCACUCGCCAUCCCCUGAAGUGUCCUCGAAGCAAGCACGGAAAACCAACACGUCAGAAGACACUACACACCGUCAGCUACGUUUAAAUUAUGAAGGAAGGAAUAACCAAGUUCUGGGGACUGGCUCGUCAGAACGCCGUGGAGGUGGAGGUGGUGUGCAGCCGUCCCCGACAUAUAUUUCCCGUGAACGUACGUCUCAUCAAGCAGGAUCAAGCAGAAGGUAGAGAAGCGACUCCCCUCAACCCGGUCCUAGUGGGGUACAAAGCAACUCGGUGGUACAAGCAAGUAGUGGGCUGAGAGAUGUAUCAUCUCGGCCCGGACCUAAUGAGGAAGGAAGCGACUCAGUGGC